rnacentral:rRNA from 1 species
CCUACGGGCGGCAGCAGUGGGGGAUAUUGCACAAUGGGGGAAACCCUGAUGCAGCGACGCCGCGUGGGUGAAGAAGCGCCUCGGCGCGUAAAGCUCUGUCAGCAGGGAAGAAAAUGACGGUACCUGAAGAAGAAGCCCCGGCUAACUACGUGCCAGCAGCCGCGGUAAUACGUAGGGGGCAAGCGUUAUCCGGAUGUACUGGGGGUAAAGGGGGCGCAGACGGCGAUGCAAGCCAGGAGUGAAAGCCCGGGGCCCAACCCCGGGACGGCUCUUGGAACUGCGUGGCUAGAGUGCAGGAGGGGCAGGCGGAAUUCCUGGUGUAGCGGUGAAAUGCGUAGAUAUCAGGAGGAACACCGGUGGCGAAGGCGGCCUGCUGGACUGCAACUGACGUUGAGGCCCGAAAGCGUGGGGAGCAAACAGGAUUAGAUACCCCUGUAGUC